rnacentral:rRNA from 1 species
GGGGGUGUGAGAGUGGCGCACGGGUGCGUAACGCGUAUGCAACCAGCCCCCCGUCAGGCGGAUAGCCGGUGGAAACGCCGGAUAAUACGCCAUGCGCCCGUUGGGGGGCAUCCCCCAGCGGGCAAAGCGGAGACGCGGAGGGGGACGGGCAUGCGUGCCAUUAGCUUGUUGGCGGGGCGACGGCCCACCAAGGCGACGAUGGCUAGGGGAUCUGAGAGGACGGUCCCCCACACUGGUACUGAGACACGGACCAGACUCCUGCGGGAGGCAGCAGUAAGGGAUAUUGGGCAAUGGGGGGAACCCUGACCCAGCCAUGCCGCGUGAGGGAAGGAGGCCCUAUGGGUUGUAAACCUCUUUUUAUCGGGAGCAAUAAGGGGGGUGCGCCCUCUGAUGAGAGUACUGAUAGAAUAAGCAUCGGCUAACUCCGUGCCAGCAGCCGCGGUAAUACGGAAGGUCCGGGCGUUAUCCGGAUUUAUUGGGUUUAAAGGGAGCGCAGGCCGCCUGUCAAGCGUGUUGUGAAAUGUAGGGGCCCAACCCCUGAGUUGCAGCGCGAACUGGCGGGCUUGAGUACGCACAACGCUGGUGGAACUCGCCGUGUAGCGGUGAAAUGCUUAGAUAUGGCGAAGAACUCCGAUUGCGAAGGCAGCUGGCGGGGGCGCAACUGACGCUCGUGCUCGAAAGUGCGGGUAUCGAACAGGAUUAGAUACCCUGGUAGUCCGCACGGUAAACGAUGGAUGCCCGCUAUGCGCACGUUGGCGUGCGUGGCCAAGCGAAAGCGUUAAGCAUCCCACCUGGGGAGUACGCCGGCAACGGUGAAACUCAAAGGAAUUGACGGGGGCCCGCACAAGCGGAGGAACAUGUGGUUUAAUUCGAUGAUACGCGAGGAACCUUACCCGGGCUUGAAUUGCAGACGAACGACCAAGAGAUUGGAAGGCCCUCCGGGGCGUCUGUGAAGGUGCUGCAUGGUUGUCGUCAGCUCGUGCCGUGAGGUGUCGGGCUCAAGUGCCAUAACGAGCGCAACCCCUCUCCGUAGUUGCCAUCAGGCUAUGCUGGGCACUCUGCGGACACUGCCACCGUAAGGUGCGAGGAAGGUGGGGAUGACGUCAAAUCAGCACGGCCCUUACGUCCGGGGCUACACACGUGUUACAAUGGCCGGUACAGAGCGCCGCGCGCCCGCAAGGUCGCGCCAAUCGCGAAACCCGGCCUCAGUUCGGACAGGGGUCUGCAACCCGACCCCACGAAGCUGGAUUCGCUAGUAAUCGCGCAUCAGCCAUGGCGGGG